rnacentral:rRNA from 1 species
CCUACGGGCGGCAGCAGUGGGGAAUAUUGGACAAUGGGGGGAACCCUGAUCCAGCCAUGCCGCGUGUGUGAAGAAGGCCCUCGGGUUGUAAAGCACUUUCAGUGAGGAAGAACGCCUGGUGGUUAAUACCCAUCAGGAAAGACAUCACUCACAGAAGAAGCACCGGCUAACUCCGUGCCAGCAGCCGCGGUAAUACGGAGGGUGCGAGCGUUAAUCGGAAUUACUGGGCGUAAAGCGCGCGUAGGUGGCUUGAUAAGCCGGUUGUGAAAGCCCCGGGCUCAACCUGGGAACGGCAUCCGGAACUGUCAAGCUAGAGUGCAGGAGAGGAAGGUAGAAUUCCCGGUGUAGCGGUGAAAUGCGUAGAGAUCGGGAGGAAUACCAGUGGCGAAGGCGGCCUUCUGGACUGACACUGACACUGAGGUGCGAAAGCGUGGGUAGCAAACAGGAUUAUAUACCCCAGUAGUC